rnacentral:lncRNA from 1 species
UGCAACACAGUCUCUGUCCUUUUCAUUCUAAUGGGAGAUGCAAAGCACUAUGGCAGGGGCAGGCAGAGGGCAAGAAUGAGUUGAUUGAAGUUGUAAUUAGUUAAGACGUAAUACUGGAGUGGACCGGGCUCCUUAUCCAAUAUGACUGGUGUCCUUAUAUGAAGCUGGUUAUGUGAAGACACAGACACACAGGGAGAAUGCCAUGAAGAUGGGAGAUGGUGCAACUACAAGCCAAGGAAUGCCGAAGACUGCUGGCAACCACCAGAAGAAGCUAGGAAGAGACAAGAAGGAUUUCCCUCCAGGUUUCAGAAAGAGUAUGGCUCUGCCAACACCUUCCUCUGAGACUUCUAGCCCCCAGAACUGUGAGAAAAUACAUUUCUCUGUUUAAAGCCACCCAGUUUAUGGUACUUUCUUCCUGCAGCCCUAGGAAUCUAAUGGCUAAUGAAGUCUGGGCCCAUGGUUCCCCCUCUGGAUGCCUCAUUCACAGAAAUGGUUCCAGGUGACCUGGGUGGUGUACAGCAGUCCCUGCUUAUCUGCAGUUUCACUUUUCACAGCUUAAGUUAACCUAUGGUCAACAGCAGCCUAAAAAUAUUAA